rnacentral:tRNA from 1 species
UCCGGAGUAGCUCAGCGGUAGAGCAAUCGGCUGUUAACCGAUCGGUCCGGGGUUCGAAUCCCUGCUCCGGAGCCA